GAUACUUGGUUAGGUUGUUGCUGGUCCUUAGGGGCAUGUGCACACCUAGCGCUGUUUUUCUAAAUCACCUGUGCACCUUUUGUAGAUUUUGGAUAACUUUCGAGGUCAACUCGUUUUGAGGUUUGCUGUGCUUUAAAUGCUCUGGCUAAUCUUGCAAUUCCAGUCUAUGUUUUCAUAUACCCCAAUACAAUGUAACAGAAUGUAAUUAGUUGGCCCUUGUGCCUCUAAACAAAUACAACUUUCAACAACGGAUCUCUUGGCUCUCGCAUCGAUGAAGAACGCAGCGAAAUGCGAUAAGUAAUGUGAAUUGCAGAAUUCAGUGAAUCAUCGAAUCUUUGAACGCACCUUGCGCUCCUUGGUAUUCCGAGGAGCAUGCCUGUUUGAGUGUCAUGAAAUUCUCAACCUUUGUGACUUUCUAUGUGUUAGUCAUUUUGGCUUGGAUUUGGAAGUUUACCGGCUUUAUAAAAGUCGGCUCUUCUUAAAUACAUUAGCAAAAAUCUUUGCUGAAUUAUCCUUGGUGUGAUAAAUAUCUAUGCCACUGAGAAUCGGCUUUAUCACAGAUUUUGCUUCUAACAGUCCUUUUGGACCAAUAAUGUACAAAUUUGACCUCAAAUCAGGUAGGACUACCCGCUGAACUUAAGCAUAUCAAUAAGCGGAGGA
rnacentral:rRNA from 1 species